UACGGAGGGUGCGAGCGUUGUCCGGAAUCACUGGGCGUAAAGGGCGCGUAGGCGGCCUGAUAAGUAGGGGGUGAAAUCCUGCGGCUUAACCGCAGGGCUGCCUUCUAAACUGUCAGGCUAGAGCACAGUAGAGGCAGGUGGAAUUCCCGGUGUAGCGGUGGAAUGCGUAGAGAUCGGGAAGAACAUCAGUGGCGAAGGCGGCCUGCUGGGCUGUUGCUGACGCUGAGGCGCGACAGCGUGGGGGGCAAACAGG
rnacentral:rRNA from 1 species